AUUGAACGCUGGCGGCAUGCCUUACACAUGCAAGUCGAACGGCAGCGCGGGAGCAAUCCUGGCGGCGAGUGGCGAACGGGUGAGUAAUAUAUCGGAACGUGCCCAGUAGUGGGGGAUAGCCCGGCGAAAGCCGGAUUAAUACCGCAUACGACCUACGGGUGAAAGGGGGGGAUCGCAAGACCUCUCGCUAUUGGAGCGGCCGAUAUCAGAUUAGGUAGUUGGUGGGGUAAAGGCCUACCAAGCCUGCGGUCUGUAGUUGGUCUGAGAGGACGACCAGCCACACUGGGACUGAGACACGGCCCAGACUCCUACGGGAGGCAGCAGUGGGGAAUUUUGGACAAUGGGCGCAAGCCUGAUCCAGCAAUGCCGCGUGCAGGAAGAAGGCCUUCGGGUUGUAAACUGCUUUUGUCAGGGAAGAAAUCCUCUAGGCUAAUACCUUGGGGGGAUGACGGUACCUGAAGAAAAAGCCCCGGCUAACUUCGUGCCAGCCGCCGCCGUAACAC
rnacentral:rRNA from 1 species